UAUCUAACAAAGACAUUAUUUCACUAAAUCAAAGACAAUUUAUUUUUGAACAGAAAUAAGCCAAUUGUAGAAAACUUUCUUCUCUAUAUUCCUCUUCUAGCCUCUGUAAACUUCCAAAAUAAAUAGGAGGAAAUAUUCUAAAAUA
rnacentral:sRNA from 1 species